UACAACAUAACAUUAAUUCAAUGGAUCCCAUUAGAAAUUUGCAGUUAAACACACUCAAGCUAGAGUAGUACUAGGAUGGGUGACUUCCUGAGAAGUCCUAGUGUUUUAC
rnacentral:rRNA from 1 species